rnacentral:rRNA from 1 species
UACGGGGGGGGCAAGCGUUGUUCGGAAUUACUGGGCGUAAAGGGCUCGUAGGCGGCCAACUAAGUCCGACGUGAAAUCCCAAGGCUUAACCUUGGAACUGCGUCGGAUACUGGAUGGCUUGAAUUCGGGAGAGGGAUGCAGAAUUCCAGGUGUAGCGGUGAAAUGCGUAGAUAUCUGGAGGAAUAUCGGUGGCGAAGGCGGCAUCCUGGACCGACAUUGACGCUGAUGAGCGAAAGCUAGGGGAGCAAACGGG